CAUUCACGGAGAGUUUGAUCCUGGCUCAGGACGAACGCUGGCGGCGUGCUUAACACAUGCAAGUCGAACGAUGAAGCCCUUCGGGGUGGAUUAGUGGCGAACGGGUGAGUAACACGUGGGCAAUCUGCCCUUCACUCUGGGACAAGCCCUGGAAACGGGGUCUAAUACCGGAUAACACUCUGUCCCGCAUGGGACGGGGUUAAAAGCUCCGGCGGUGAAGGAUGAGCCCGCGGCCUAUCAGCUUGUUGGUGGGUAAUGGCCUACCAAGGCGACGACGGGUA
rnacentral:rRNA from 2 species